AUGAAAAUGAUUUUUAAUUAUCGAUGAAAACCAUCGAUAAUUAAUUUACAAAUAUUCCUUAUCUGAAAAGAUUAAUUUAACAAAUCUUUAAUAUAACCAAAAGUAUUAAACAUUUAUCUUAAAUAUUUGAUUCGUCAUAGUGCAAUUUCAAUAAUUGUAUAAAUAUUAGUUAUAAAUUUCACAGCUCUGACACAAAAAUACUAUAUGUAUAGUAAAUUAUGUUACGUAUGUAAAUGCUCUGAACAGCUCCGAAUGCUUGUUGAAAAAUGACGCCGUGUGGUUCGGUUGCUAUCGGACCUCUUCGCCAUUACUCGUCACCACCAGCUGAAAAGCUGGUAGGAGGAAACUCCUACCCCUACUUUGCUCAUCAGUGACGUCACUUCGCGCUACAAGUUGUUUUUUUACAAAAUCGUUACCAACGUAUUUGUGAGAUUUUCCUGAUUAAAACAAAGCCGAAACGAUAUAAUUUUGAUUGUAUAUUCACUCACCUAGUAAAUGAUGAAAUUUUCGGCCGCAAAAAGAAAGAAAGUGAGUAAAAGAGGAGUGACUAUGGAUCGGAGUCAUGAACUCACUUCCUUUCAAAUUCUAUUUUUGUAUUUUUUUUAUUUAUCUCGAAGAACAAUUUAUUCUCGUUUACACUUGUUUUAAGAACAGAAAUCUAUGGAAACUGUUUGAAAUUUCCUUAUUUUAAUUGUCUUCUGGUAUUAGAGACAUGAAAGUAUUAUCGCCUAAUAUGUUAAGAUUAGUAUCAAUAUGUGAUGAAUUUUAGUAGUGAUUUUACAGAAGAAAUAUAGUCGAAGUAAUAUUUUCCCAA